CCUACGGGAGGCAGCAGUGGGGAAUCUUCCGCAAUGGGCGAAAGCCUGACGGAGCAACGCCGCGUGAGUGAAGAAGGUCUUCGGAUCGUAAAGCUCUGUUGUUGGGGACGAAAGGGUAGACGAGGCAAUGCGUCUACUAAGACGGUACCCGACGAGGAAGCCACGGCUAACUACGUGCCAGCAGCCGCGGUAAUACGUAGGUGGCGAGCGUUGUCCGGAAUGAUUGGGCGUAAAGGGAGCGCAGGUGGGACGGUAAGUCCUUCUUAAAAGCGUGGGGCUCAGCCCCAUGAAGGGAAGGAAACUAUCGAUCUUGAGUGCCGGAGAGGAAAGCGGAAUUCCCAGUGUAGCGGUGAAAUGCGUAGAUAUUGGGAAGAACACCAGUGGCGAAGGCGGCUUUCUGGACG
rnacentral:rRNA from 1 species